CCUACGGGUGGCUGCAGUGGGGAAUUUUGGACAAUGGGGGCAACCCUGAUCCAGCCAUUCCGCGUGAGUGAAGAAGGCCUUCGGGUUGUAAAGCUCUUUCGGCCGGGAAGAAAUCGCAUCUCCUAAUACGGGGUGUGGAUGACGGUACCGGAAGAAGAAGCACCGGCUAACUACGUGCCAGCAGCCGCGGUAAUACGGAGGGUAAUUGCGUUACUCGGAACUACUGGGCGUAAAGCGUGAGGAGGGGGCUGAAAUCCCCGGGCUUAACCUGGGAACUGCGUUUGGGACUGGUGGGCUUGAGUGCGGCAGAGGGGGGUGGAAUUCCACGUGUAGCAGUGAAAUGCGUAGAGAUGUGGAGGAACACCGAUGGCGAAGGCAGCCCCCUGGGUCGACACUGACGCUCAUGCACGAAAGCGUGGGGAGCAAACAGGAUUAGAUACCCCAGUAGUC
rnacentral:rRNA from 1 species